rnacentral:rRNA from 1 species
UACGGAGGGUGCGAGCGUUAAUCGGAAUUACUGGGCGUAAAGCGCACGCAGGCGGUUUGUUAAGCUAGAUGUGAAAGCCCCGGGCUCAACCUGGGAUGGUCAUUUAGAACUGGCAGACUAGAGUCUUGGAGAGGGGAGUGGAAUUCCAGGUGUAGCGGUGAAAUGCGUAGAUAUCUGGAGGAACAUCAGUGGCGAAGGCGACUCCCUGGCCAAAGACUGACGCUCAUGUGCGAAAGUGUGGGUAGCGAANAGG